GUAAAUUGUUGUCUGUAGAUAAGAGACAGCCUUGUGACUGACAAGGCAGCAUGGUGGUAAAGUCAAGAGCACACUUGCCUCACUCGAGAUACCUGACCUGCAAAGACGGUGUGCCGAGAGCAGUGGUUCUUAACCGUAUUAGAGGUACCAAACCUAACCAGUUCAUAUGCACAUUCAUCGAACCCUUCAUUGUUGAAAAAUAAAAAUUCAAGAAGUGUUCCUUUAGUUUUGCCAGUGCGAGACUAGAGUUGCUCAACUUGGCAUGACUAAUCAUGCAUAGAUACUGAGUCCCACCACGUUUGUUAAUUGGACGCUACUUCGCGGAUUUUCGUUUAUCGCGGGUGGUUUUGGUCUCCAUUAACCGAGAUACAUGAGGGAUUACUGUAAUGUCACCGAUUAGUGUUUGUUACGUAUUGUUGCAAUUCAUGAGUAUUGUGUCUGUCCACAGGUAACAUAAGAUGUCAGUACAGUACUGAACUGAAUGUUUAACAUGGCUGCUUGAUCAAAUUGUGCAGUGUAAUUGAUAUUUAAUAUUAAGUAUUGCUUUUACUGCGCAGCCAAACGUGUUUUUCAAACAAACAACAAA